CCCACCCUCAUCCCGGCACGUGAUGACGUAGGACGUAAGGACGCCCCCCCCCGCCGGUAGCCAUCUUCGUGCAUAGCUUGCAACACCAUGAAAAAAUUACUGAGACACUAGGAAUGCUGUGAACUGAGAAAGUUUGGGACCUUUGGCAUAACUAAAUCCUUCAUUUAACAGAUGGAGUCUCAGUCUGUCACUAAGGCUGGAGUGCAGUGGCGCGAUCUCGGCUCACUGCAACCUCCACCUCCCGGGUUCACGCGAUUCUCCAGCCUCAGCCUUCCACGUAGCUGGGACUACAGGUGCAUGCCACCACACCCAGUGUUGUGAACCACUUGUCAUGGGAUAACCAAAAUUAAACCUGGAAUCGCAGAAGAAACAAAUUUUUUGAAGAAAUUGGAUGUACUUUUUUAAAAUUUUUCAUUCAACUAAAACUUUGUUAACUGUUUCUUGGUUGUGGUCUUCUCUAAAUUGUAAUCUUUGGCAUUCACUUCCAAAGUAUCCACCACUAAACUUCAUAACAUUUAUUGUGUCUCUUCAUCAUUAAACUUUGAUGAAUUUACAGAGUGUCUUUUGAAAUUAUGUUCUUGAGAAAGGUAAGUUCCCUAAAAAUCCCACCACCUCAGGAACAGAAUUUUCUAAAACUGUUGUAUCUACCUAAGUUACCUAUUUUUGUCUUUUGUCUGGAGUCCACUUGUCCUCAAAACAAAAUUAAUGUUGUAUUCCCUUUUGGUCAAGGACACAUUAAACAUUUCGUGCAGCAUGCACAUUUUUCAGGGAUGUAGAAUCAUAAACAAUUAUUUUUAUACACUUCUUAUGACAUAGGGUGACUUUUACAAUGUGCUGUGCUAUUUAAAGUUAAAUGUUCACCACUACAUAUUGUACCUGUGAAAAGAUUAUAGGUUAGCUUUGAUAAUUUAAAAUAUUUUUGCUACAGCCA
rnacentral:lncRNA from 10 species